CUUCCGUACACUGCUUCAUCAACCUCAGCCGUGACCCUUCCUCCCGGUCGCCGUGUUUAAUAUCCUACUCGUCUGCCGCCUAUCUCGAGCACCGCGAGCGAAGGUGGAUGCCCUGACUGCCGAUCACCAAGAAACUCCGCGGAAAGCUGCUGCAGAUAGGUGUUGUGCUGGUAUAUUCUUUUUGUAGCCUUUGUUCAGGUAAAUCAGACCAAGACUCGAAGACUAUAGAUAGCCACUCUUUUUUUACCAACCUUUGUUUUUGUUAAUAAUGAGUUUGACAAUGAAGUGACUACAUCUCCAUCUUUUCACCUUUGUUUCUACUGAGCUUCUCAAAGGUCCAUUCCUGUAAUAUUUUGGAGGACAUCUCCCAUUACAAUCGUUGGGGGUUUUCAAUUUAUGAGUAAGGUACGCGAAGCUCCCUUACAAACCCGACAAAUCGUACUUCGGAAUCAUUGCAUUUUUCUUCAUCGGCUUCGUCACAUCAAACACGUAAGCAAAAGGCAAUAUAUAUACUACUGGACCCUGAAGCCCCAAAUCAUCUUCUGUUUUCUAUGUACUCCCAUGAUUAUUUAGCAAAUGCCAAAAAUAGUGUUUCUUUCAUGCGUACAUCGUUUCGUUUGGAGUUUUGCCCACUUGAUCUGAAUAUGAGGAAGGACAAAUAUCUUGUAGCAGAUCAGAUUCAGGUCAUGACAUGAUUCCUUAAGGGCCUCAUUACUGGUGGUGUUUCUUUCUUCCAUGGUGAUUCCUAUUGUUCAUAGUUGUACUAGCAGGAUUAUCAUAACAACUAAGCAAAUGCCAAGCUGGAAAUUUGAAGAUAAAAAAUUGAGGCGUGUGAUCAGGUGUCAAUACUUAAAGAAAGAGCCUUUAGUUUUUCUUAAUCAGAAUGCAGAAAUUUAAGCAUGUAGAUCUUUGAUGAAAACAUAAUUAAGAUAUUGCUGAGGUAAUCUCAUGUUACCUUUGUAUUAUGUUAGCCUACUAAUUUACUAUAUCCAGGUCAUAAUAUUGUUGCUAUUUUCAUGAACUACGUAAUGGUUAAUGACACAACUCAAUGAACUAAGUAUUGAGAGCAUGGGCUGUUGCGGUGGACCGGUGGUAACGACAAGCUCAGAGGGUUUUGCCACUGUGAUCAUGUUGGUCGUGCUAGCACUGACAACGUAUAGUAUACAAUAUACUGCCGGGACCAGUGACACUUAUUCUACUUCCUUAACAGCGGGCAAAUUGGUAAUUUUUGGUCGAUAUAGCAAGUUUGAGAAGACCCAAUUUUGUUAUACUAUGUAAGUUGAUACACUUUUUAUAUGUUCGAUUGGUGAUAUUGGAAAUAGCUAAGCUUA